rnacentral:rRNA from 1 species
GACGAACGCUGGCGGCGUGCCUAAUACAUGCAAGUCGAACGCAGUGGGGACGGGUGAGUAACACGUGGGUAACAUACCAUAAGAGGGGCUAAAACUUGGAAACAGGUGCUAAACCGAUACUGAUGGAUGGACCCGCGGUGCAUUAACUAGUUGGUGAGGUAACGGCUCACCAAGGCAACGAUGCAUAGCCGACCUUAGAGGGAGUGCGUCCACACUGGUACGGAGACACUGUCGUGACUCCGACGGUAGGCAGCAGUAGGGAAUCUGCGGCAAUUGACGAAAGUCUGACCGAGCAACUGCGCGGGAUUUAAGAAGGUUUUAGGAUCGUAAAACUCUGUUGUUAGAGAAGCGGUAUCUAACCAGAAAGCCACGGCUAACUACGUGCCAGCAGCCGCGGUAAUAC